GCAGCACGGGUGCUUGCACCUGGUGGCGAGUGGCGAACGGGUGAGUAAUACAUCGGAACAUGUUCUGUAGUGGGGGAUAGCCCGGCGAAAGCCGGAUUAAUACCGCAUACGAUCUACGGAUGAAAGCGGGGGACCUUCGGGCCUCGCGCUAUAGGGUUGGCCGAUGGCUGAUUAGCUAGUUGGUGGGGUAAAGGCCUACCAAGGCGACGAUCAGUAGCUGGUCUGAGAGGACGACCAGCCACACUGGGACUGAGACACGGCCCAGACUCCUACGGGAGGCAGCAGUGGGGAAUUUUGGACAAUGGGCGAAAGCCUGAUCCAGCAAUGCCGCGUGUGUGAAGAAGGCCUUCGGGUUGUAAAGCACUUUUGUCCGGAAAGAAAUCCUUGGUUCUAAUAUAGCCGGGGGAUGACGGUACCGGAAGAAUAAGCACCGGCUAACUACGUGCCAGCAGCCGCGGUAAUACGUAGGGUGCGAGCGUUAAUCGGAAUUACUGGGCGUAAAGCGUGCGCAGGCGGUUUGCUAAGACCGAUGUGAAUCCCCGGGCUCAACCUGGGAACUGCAUUGGUGACUGGCAGGCUAGAGUAUGGCAGAGGGGGGUAGAAUUCCACGUGUAGCAGUGAAAUGCGUAGACAUGUGGAGGAAUACCGAUGGCGAAGGCAGCCCCCUGGGCCAAUACUGACGCUCAUGCAC
rnacentral:rRNA from 1 species